AUCACUCAGAGAUUCUGAAUUCUGGACUUUGAGCUCAAUGCCAUGACUGAGGAAGACCACGGGGUUUUCUCUCUUAGAGGGGAGGAAUCCUUGAUAUUCUUCAUUCCAAUUGUUCACCUCUACUGUAGGGCUCAGUAAACACUUAAGGAAGUUGCCGUGCACUGCAGCCUGCCGGAGACAUGAAGGAAUGUACGGGAGGAUAAUCGCAACAUCAUCAACCCAAUUCUCCAAGUAAUUUGCCAUGGGACAGGCACACCCCAUGUGUUUGGGAAGACAAUGGGAAGGUUCUGUUUUCUGCUCCAAGACUGAUUCAACCAGUUGGAUCUGGAAGGGGAUAAAGGGCUGUGUGGCUGCUUGAUUUUCAUUGUCUAGUGGCAGCCAAAAUUGGAAAAGAGAGAAGUGCAGACUUUAAAGACAAGCAGCGACAGCUCAUCAGCAGUCUAACAACACGACAGAUGACAGGCCCAGAGGCACACCCAGGGCCGCCAGCCCAUCACCCUGUGCAGGAUGUCAAAGAGCAGCUGCAGCAAAGGAAGAAGAUCAUCCAGACUUAAAUGUUUGGGCCUUGCUAAGACCAUAGAGUCUUUGUGCUUUGGAAACAGUCCUCCAUACAAAGACCCCUUCCUAGAAAAGAGUGGAAAGAAACCAAGGUGGAAUGGAUACAACAGAAAGGAGACCAUGCUAAUAUUCUUGUGCAAUGCUUCCUGGGCAGAAAUUAUGUCAUAAAGGAUGUUCAAUUCUGCAAAGCUAUGUCUCUCUCUGCGGUUUGCCUCAGAGGAGGGGCGUUUCAUAGCUGUAGUGAGUAAGGGGGCCCUUGCUGACGUUCAUCAGAUAUGCCAAGGCACAGGAAGAAAGCAUUGAGGUCACAGGGCAGCUCAGGUCCGCCUGUGGUAAUUGAAAACAGGUGACGAGAUUGGGUUGAUUUUAUUUUGGAAAAGUAAAUUAGUGCUGCACCACUCGGACAUGGCUAAUUCAUGAAGCCUCUGGUUUGUAUUAGACACCCAACAUGCCUUUCAGAAAGAAAUGACACAACAAUUAAUGUGUCAAACAAUAAUGUGCCACUCGGAGAAAGAUAAUUGUACCCAUCGUCAGGUAGUUAUUAGGUCGAACGAAUGCUCAUCCUUUCAAAGGCAACAGCGUCUAUUCACUCUGGCAUCCUACUGUAAGUACAGUAUUGUGUUCAUAAUCACACAGACUGAAGCCAGGAACACUGGGUUUUAUCUGAUUUUUCUCCAUUUGGAAUUGUACUCCGAUGAUUCCCUAAACAGCAAACUCAGUCAUGUGAAACACAAAUGAGUGUGAUGAAAGACAGAUUGUUAUACUGCAGGAGAGGCUUUCUGUGCUUUUCACAUAAUAUAGAGCAUGAGGACUGUUCCCAAGAAGGUUUAAGCAUAUGUAACAAAAACUACCAGACCUGAAUUUGCUCAUGUGUAAAUGAUAGUCUUUCCUUCUGGCGAUUUAAUGCAUGAGGACAUCAAUCAGUCACAUCAUGGCCUCAGAAGUCCUUGUUCAAUUUCUGAUGUCAUAACUUACUCGAUGUGGGAUUUGGACAAGUCAUUUAACUUCACCGCAAUUCUGUUUCCCUCAUUUGAAAAAUAGAAAUAGAAGAGCCUGCUGUAUAUUUAGAUCCACAUCUGUUGGGAGGUCAAAGAAGAAAGAAUAUGAAAAGUUGUUUGUAAAUAUAAAGAACCAUGUAAAUAUAAGACAUUGUUUUAUUAAUGCUCCAGAUCAAUUAACGUUCAGUGAAUGAUAAAAUGUGACAUCUUUUCAACAGAGGCAGUUUUACUUAAGAAAAACUAGGCAAUGGCUUCUGUCCUUACAAAUGAAAAACUUCAUAAUAAAUGGGGGCUAUCAAGACCACCUGGCCAAAACUGAACUAAAUACUCACGUCAUUCAACCAAGAAUGAGGAACUGAAAUACAUUAUUAUAUAUGCAUAUGCUUCUGUUUCAUCUACUUGGGCAUGCUUGUGAUGAGAUAUGAAAAAUUAGCCAUCUUUAGAAGGAAAGAAAUAUUGUAUUUGGGGGUAUUUCUUCUGUACAGACAAUUGGCCUGGUUAUUGUCUAAAGGUAUUUAAAAUUAAUAAAAUGCAAUUUUAUGCUACAUAAAAUAUUCAAAGCAACGAUAUUUCAAGGUAUAGCUUCUAUACCUUGUCCUCCCCUGAAGAUGCAUUCUCAACCGAUAUCUUGACUAUAUGGACAACAAAUCGUAAAAGAAAAAUGUAUAGUGUGGUGUUUGACGUUGAGUAGCUUAUGAUAGACAUUCAUACCUGUAAAGAGAUCUCGUUAGGGGAAACAAACUAAUAUAUAACAAACAGAUAAUUAAAGUAAGCAGUACUGAGACAGAGAAGAGUUGGUGACUUAGCCUGUUGAAGAUAGACACUUUGCUAAUUAGGAUUUAAAAAUAUAGGCAUAUCUGCUCUAAUAUCGUAUAAAUAUUGCCAAAAAACUCUUGUAUUCUGUAAAAGAAUACCUAAAAACAAACAGAGCUGACAGGCAAAAUAAGAUUGGCGGUGUGAGACCCACUUGAAAUCUUUUUAUAAUUCUAUCUUGAAAGUAUUAUUGCAUUAUAUCCAUCUUUAGAUAAUUAAUUGAAGUAAAUCACUAAGUCCGGUCCACUUCAAGAAGAAAGGGAUUAAGAGAGAAUUUGGGGGCUAUCUUUGAAGCCAUCACAGGCUAUCUCUUAGAGGUAAAGGAGUGUUUAAGGAAGAGAAGACAACAUAAAUGGAGAGGCCCAAGAGUUGGUUCUUGGGAUCAUUAGAUAAUGGCAGCCACAGAGAGAGGCAGUGGCAAUAAUAAUGAACAAUCCAGCAUAAGCCCUGUCCUCUCUUCCUGGAGGACAGAGAGAGGUGUUGGCAGUGGUCUUAGGUUUUAAGUGUGAAAAUAAGUAAUUCAAAAUCUAAGCUGUUGGAAUUAUAAAUUAUUUUGAGCCUUAAAGGAAUGUGAUUACAAGGCCUGAGUUACAUGGCAGGCAGCUGCAACCUAAGCAACUGUAAUCUGUGUUCCUCUGAUUAUAGAUUAGCCUUCUUCCUUACCUACAUUGUUUUGUAAAAUGCUGUAAAUGACUAAAGGGCACCAGGGAAGCCUCCUUCCCUCUUCACCCUUGAUCUCCAUUAUAGAUUAGCUUCCCUCUUACCUUUCUCACACAUAGAACUCAUGGCUAUCACAUUGUCUUAAGAUGAAAUGUUAAAUACACUUUUACAGUGGAAAGAACAUGAAAGCCAACCCUAUGGAAAAGAAAACAACCUAAUUAAAUUGUUGUAACUCAUAAACCAGCCUUGUAUAUAAAAUGUUAUAAUCUUACUAAACUUCUUUGUUUUCUGCCUAUAUAAGCAAGAACUUAACUUUUGUCUUUGGGGCACUGACCUCAUUUAUCUGAAGUCUGUGUCUCCUGGAUGGCAAUUCCCAGGUUUUCACUCAAAUAAACUUUAAAACUGGAUUCUAAUCCUUUUGAUUAUUUCAGGUUGACAGAAGCAACUUGGGAGAUGGGGUGGCAGGUCAGAGUCUCUUGAAUUGUUUGGUAAUUCCUGGCAUAAUUCUAAGGUAUAAGCCAGCUGCUGUUUUGUCAAGUUAUUCCCUGGAAAAUGAUCAUUGUAUUAAAUACAUGUACCAUUUU